rnacentral:rRNA from 1 species
UCGAGAAUCAUUCACAAUGGACGAAAGUCUGAUGGUGUGACGCCGCGUGGAGGAUGACGGUCUUCGGAUUGUAAACUCCUGUCAAGUGGGAGUAAAGCUUGGUGUUAACUGCAUCCAAGUCUGAGAGUACCACUAGAGGAAGAGACGGCUAACUCUGUGCCAGCAGCCGCGGUAAUACAGAGGUCUCAAGCGUUGUUCGGAAUCACUGGGCGUAAAGGGUGCGUAGGCUGUGUUGUAAGUCAGAGGUGAAAUCCCGGGGCUCAACCUCGGAACUGCCUCCGAUACUGCAAGACUUGAGGACUGGAGAGGAGAUUGGAAUUCAUGGUGGAGCAGUGAAAUGCGUAGAUAUCAUGAGGAACGCUAGUGGCGUAGGCGAAUCUCUGGACAGUUCCUGACGCUGAGGCACGAAGGCUAGGGGAGCAAACG